UACAGAGGGGGCAAGCGUUAUUCGGAAUUAUUGGGCGUAAAGGGCGCGUAGGCGGCCUGGCAAGUGGAAGGUGAAAUCCCUCGGCUUAACCGAGGAACUGCCCUCCAGACUGCUUGGCUUGAGUCCGGGAGAGGUGAGUGGAAUUCCCAGUGUAGCGGUGAAAUGCGUAGAUAUUGGGAGGAACACCAGUGGCGAAGGCGGCUCACUGGACCGGAACUGACGCUGAGACGCGAAAGCGUGGGGAGCGAACAGG
rnacentral:rRNA from 1 species